AGUGAACGCUGGCGGUAGGCCUAACACAUGCAAGUCGAACGGCAGCACAGUAAGAGCUUGCUCUUACGGGUGGCGAGUGGCGGACGGGUGAGGAAUACAUCGGAAUCUACUUUUUCGUGGGGGAUAACGUAGGGAAACUUACGCUAAUACCGCAUACGACCUACGGGUGAAAGCAGGGGAUCUUCGGACCUUGCGCGAUUGAAUGAGCCGAUGUCGGAUUAGCUAGUUGGCGGGGUAAAGGCCCACCAAGGCGACGAUCCGUAGCUGGUCUGAGAGGAUGAUCAGCCACCCUGGACCUGAGACACGUUCCAGACUCCUACGGGAGGCAGCGGUGGGGAAUUUUGGCCAAUGGGCGCAAGCCUGAUCCAGCCAUACCGCGUGGGUGAAGAAGGCCUUCGGGUUGUAAAGCCCUUUUGUUGGGAAAGAAAAGCAGCAGGUUAAUACCCCGCUGUUCUGACGGUACCCAAAGAAUAGGCACCGGCUAACUUCGU
rnacentral:rRNA from 1 species